rnacentral:rRNA from 1 species
UGGGACAACAUUGGAAACGAAUGCUAAUACCGGAUAUUAUGACUGAGUCGCAUGAUUUGGUUAUGAGAGCUGUAUGCGCUGUGAGAGAGCUUUGCGUCCCAUUAGUUAGUUGGUGAGGUAACGGCUCACCAAGACGAUGAUGGGUAACCGGCCUGAGAGGGUGAACGGCCACAAGGGGACUGAGACACGGCCCUUACUCCUACGGGAGGCAGCAGUGGGGAAUAUUGGACAAUGGACCAAAGUCUGAUCCAGCAAUUCUGUGUGCACGAUGAAGUUUUUCGGAAUGUAAAGUGCUUUCAGUUGGGAAGAAGUCAGUGACGGUACCAACAGAAGAAGCGACGGCUAAAUACGUGCCAGCAGCCGCGGUAAUACGUAUGUCGCAAGCGUUAUCCGGAUUUAUUGGGCGUAAAGCGCGUCUAGGCGGUUUAGUAAGUCUGAUGUGAAAAUGCGGGGCUCAACCCCGUAUUGCGUUGGAAACUGCUUAAACUAGAGUACUGGAGAGGUAGGCGGAACUACAAGUGUAGAGGUGAAAUUCGUAGAUAUUUGUAGGAAUGCCGAUGGGGAAGCCAGCCUACUGGACAGAUACUGACGCUAAAGCGCGAAAGCGUGGGUAGCAAACAGGAUUAGAUACCCUGGUAGUCCACGCCGUAAACGAUGAUUACUAGGUGUUGGGGGUCGAACCUCAGCGCCCAAGCUAACGCGAUAAGUAAUCCGCCUGGGGAGUACGUACGCAAGUAUGG